CGCCCCUCUUCUACAGAAAGUAUGAUUUUUUUUAACAUGAAAAACAUAAGUGACCCCAAAAUUUAUUAUAAGUUUUUGUAUUUUCCUUAAUGCAGCAUUGGCCCAUUGACAGGUUAAAUAUUAUACUCCCCAGUGCCUUUAUGUAAAACUGUUUUCAGUUUACAAUGCUUAUUCAAAGUCAAUAAUUUCAACAUCUGAACAUAUAAAU
rnacentral:lncRNA from 1 species